AGUGAACGCUGGCGGCAUGCCUAACACAUGCAAGUCGAACGGUAACAGGCCCGCAAGGGUGCUGACGAGUGGCGGACGGGUGAGGAAUACAUCGGAAUUUGCCCAGUCGUGGGGGAUAACGUAGGGAAACUUACGCUAAUACCGCAUACGACCUAACGGUGAAAGCGGGGGACCUGCAAGGGCCUCGCGCGGAUGGAUAAGCCGAUGUCGGAUUAGCUAGUUGGCGGGGUAAGAGCCCACCAAGGCGACGAUCCGUAGCUGGUCUGAGAGGAUGAUCAGCCACACUGGGACUGAGACACGGCCCAGACUCCUACGGGAGGCAGCAGUGGGGAAUAUUGGACAAUGGGGGCAACCCUGAUCCAGCAAUGCCG
rnacentral:rRNA from 1 species